rnacentral:RNase_P_RNA from 1 species
GGCGGAGGGAAGCUCAUCAGUGGGGCUACGAACUGAGUGCGUUGCGUCACUCUACCCCAUGUCCCUUGGGAAGGUCUGAGACUAGGGCCAAAUAGCGGCCCUAACAGGGCCCUCCCUGAACCGCGGGGAGGUGAGUUCCCAGAGAACGGGGCUCCGCGCGAGGGCAGACUGGGCAGGAGAUGCCGUGGACUCCGCCCUCGGGGUGGGGCCCGGCGGAUGCCUCCUUAGCCGGAGCUUGGAACAGACUCACGGCCAGCGAAGUGAGUUCAAUGGCUGAGGUGAGGUACCCCCCCAAGCGGGGACCUCAUAACCCAAUUCAGACUACUCUCCCCCGUC